rnacentral:rRNA from 1 species
GACCUGGUACCGUGGGCCGCAUUCACGGUGUGUACUGCUGGACCGGGUUCUACCUCUUGGUGAGCCGGCAUGCCCUUCACUGGGUGUGUCGGGGAACCAGGUCUUUUACCUUGAGAAAAUUAGAGUGUUCAAAGCUGGCCUACGCCCGAAUACAUUAGCAUGGCAUAAUAAAAUAGCACGUGCGGUUCUAUUUUGUUGGUUUCUAGAGUCGCCGUA